UUUUUUAGGUGCAGGCUUUGCGUCUUUCUUUGACAGUUAGAAACACGAUAGUGUCAUUUCACGUUGGUCUAGAGCUAGAAUAAGACUUGCUAAGAAUCUGAAUCUCUAAAAGAAAAUUGCUUAACCUUGUUCCCAAUAUAUCACCACUCUUCUUUCUCCUUAGUUCAGGUUAAAUGGCUCCGGAUAGAGAUGCUCCACCUGAAAACUCACAAGAAAGAGAUGCUCAAGAAAGAGAUGCCACGGAUACAAAUGCUCCACCUGAUACUGAAGCAAA